rnacentral:lncRNA from 1 species
GGAGUUAGACAUGGGCAUGUUUUCUGCCUGAUGGAUCACCAGUCAGAACACAUGUCAAUGCCUAGAUCCAUGGUGCAAUUAACCUACACUAUCAUAGUUUGUAUCUUUUGUGGGACAGUGUGUAUACACGAUUCCCACAGGACCACUGGCUGGGGCAACUGAUCUAACCUAAGUUGCAUUCGUAUUUAAGAAAUACAAUAGCUGCAUCUGAAAGUAAAUAAAAUUAACACAAAUAAACAACACAUGUUAUUUAUCAUAAAACUCAUGACCAAAUAUUUAAAAAAAAACCACUUUUUUCUUGCAUAAAAACAGGUAGAUAUAUAGAGCA